GAAGUCGACAAAUUGGAUCCGUAACUUCGGGAUAAGGAUUAGCUCUGAGGAGCGGGGCGUGUCGGGCUUGGACGGGUAGUGGACGAAGUGAACCGGUAGUGUCCACUUGGGGAUCCGAGCUCGGUCCCGUGCCUUGGCUUCCCGCGGAUCUUCCUUGCUGCGUGACUUCCGUUGGAGGCCUACCGUCAGCGGUCGUUCUCUUCGACCGCCAUUCAACGCUCAGCUCAGAACUAGCAUGGAAUCGGGGAAGCCGACUGUCUAAUUAAAACAAAGCAUUGCGAUGGCCCCUACGGGUGUUGACGCAAUGUGAUUUCUGCCCAGUGCUCUGAAUGUCAACGUGAAGAAAUUAAAAAAAGCGCAGGUAAACGGCGAGAGUAGAUAGCGGAUUGCGCGUGAAGCAUUUAGUGGAUGCCGGAUAU
rnacentral:ncRNA from 1 species